rnacentral:rRNA from 1 species
CCUGCAGGAAAGGACAUCAACCGAGACUCCGCAAGUAGUGGCGAGCGAACGCGGACCAGGCCAGUGGCAAUGAGGAAUAAAGUGGAACGAUUUGGAAAGGUCGGCCGUAGCGGGUGAUAGCCCCGUACACGUAGAACACUCAUUGUCCUUGAGUAAGGCGGGACACGUGAAAUCCUGUCUGAACAUGGGGAGACCACUCUCCAAGCCUAAGUACUCGUGCAUGACCGAUAGCGAACAAGUACCGUGAGGGAAAGGUGAAAAGCACCCCGACAAGGGGAGUGAAAUAGAACCUGAAACCGGAUGCCUACAAACAGUCGGAGCCCGCAAGGGUGACGGCGUACCUUUUGUAUAAUGGGUCAACGACUUAGUGUGACAUGCAAGCUUAAGCCGGUAGGUGUAGGCGUAGCGAAAGCGAGUCUGAAUAGGGCGCCUUAGUAUGUCGCAUUAGACCCGAAACCGAGUGAUCUAGCCAUGAGCAGGUUGAAGGUUGGGUAACACCAACUGGAGGACCGAACCCGCAUCUGUUGCAAUAGAUUGGGAUGACUUGUGGCUAGGGGUGAAAGGCCAAUCAAACUCGGAAAUAGCUGGUUCUCCGCGAAAUCUAUUUAGGUAGAGCGUCGACCGAAUACCCCCGGGGGUAGAGCACUGGAUGGGCUAUGGGGACUCACCGUCUUACUGAUCCUAACCAAACUCCGAAUACCGGGGAGUACUAGUCGGCAGACACACGGCGGGUGCUAACGUCCGUCGUGAAAAGGGCAACAACCCUGACCUCCAGCUAAGGUCCCCAAGUCAUGGCUAAGUGGGAAAGGAUGUGAGGAUCCCAAAACAACCAGGAUGUUGGCUUAGAAGCAGCCAUCAUUUAAAGAAAGCGUAACAGCUCACUGGUCUAAAUAAGGGUCUUUGCGCCGAAAAUGUAACGGGGCUGAAGCCAUGCACCGAAGCUGAGGAUUUGAUCGCAAGAUCAAGUGGUAGCGGAGCGUUCCGUAAGCCUGUGAAGGGAUACCCGUGAGGGGUCCUGGAGGUAUCGGAAGUGCGAAUGUUGACAUGAGUAACGAUAAAGAGGGUGAGAGACCCUCUCGCCGAAAGACCAAGGGUUCCUGCUUAAAGUUAAUCUGAGCAGGGUUAGCCGGCCCCUAAGACGAGGCGGACACGCGUAGUCGAUGGGAACCACGUUAAUAUUCGUGGGCCUGGUGGUAGUGACGGAUCGCUUAACUUGUCUGGACUUAUUGGAUUGUCCAGGCUUGGACGCGGUCCCGGGAAAUAGCUCCACCGUAUAGACCGUACCCGAAACCGACACAGGUGGUCAGGUAGAGUAUACCAAGGCGCUUGAGAGAACUGCGUUGAAGGAACUCGGCAAAUUGCACGCGUAACUUCGGAAGAAGCGUGACCCCAUGAUGGGCAACCAUUGUGGGGUGGCACAGACCAGGGGGUAGCGACUGUUUAUCAAAAACACAGGGCUCUGCGAAGUCGCAAGACGACGUAUAGGGUCUGACGCCUGCCCGGUGCUGGAAGGUUAAGAGGAGGGGUGCAAGCUCUGAAUCGAAGCCCCAGUAAACGGCGGCCGUAACUAUAACGGUCCUAAGGUAGCGAAAUUCCUUGUCGGGUAAGUUCCGACCUGCACGAAUGGCGUAACGACUUCCCCGCUGUCUCCAACGCAGACUCAGUGAAAUUGAAUUCCCCGUGAAGAUGCGGGGUUCCUGCGGUCAGACGGAAAGACCCCGUGCACCUUUACUAUAGCUUUACACUGGCAUUCGUGUCGGCAUGUGUAGGAUAGGUGGUAGGCUUUGAAGCGGGGACGCCAGUUCUCGUGGAGCCAUCCUUGAAAUACCACCCUUAUCGUCAUGGAUGUCUAACCGCGGUCCGUCAUCCGGAUCCGGGACAGUGUAU